UACAGAGGUCUCAAGCGUUGUUCGGAUUCAUUGGGCGUAAAGGGUGCGUAGGCGGCGCGGUAAGUCGGAUGUGAAAUCUCGGAGCUUAACUUCGAAACUGCAUUCGAUACUGCCGUGCUUGAGGACUGGAGAGGAGACUGGAAUUUACGGUGUAGCGGUGAAAUGCGUAGAUAUUGGGAGGAACACCAGUGGCGAAGGCGGCUCACUGGACCGGAACUGACGCUGAUGCGCGAAAGCGUGGGGAGCAAACGGG
rnacentral:rRNA from 1 species